rfam:Aspergillus glaucus CBS 516.65 unplaced genomic scaffold ASPGLscaffold_5, whole genome shotgun sequence.
GGGCGUGUAGCUCAGUCGGGAAGAGCGUUUGUCUAGGUAGACACCAGGUCCGGGGUUCGAAUCCCCGCACGUCCA